rnacentral:rRNA from 1 species
AGUGAACGCUGGCGGUAGGCCUAACACAUGCAAGUCGAACGGCAGCACAGUAAGAGCUUGCUCUUACGGGUGGCGAGUGGCGGACGGGUGAGGAAUACAUCGGAAUCUACUUUUUCGUGGGGGAUAACGUAGGGAGACUUACGCUAAUACCGCAUACGACCUACGGGUGAAAGCAGGGGAUCUUCGGACCUUGCGCGAUUGAAUGAGCCGAUGUCGGAUUAGCUAGUUGGCGGGGUAAAGGCCCACCAAGGCGACGAUCCGUAGCUGGUCUGAGAGGAUGAUCAGCCACACUGGAACUGAGACACGGUCCAGACUCCUACGGGAGGCAGCAGUGGGGAAUAUUGGACAAUGGGCGCAAGCCUGACCCAGCCAUACCGCGUGAGUGAAGAAGGCCUUCGGGUUGUAAAGCCCUUUUGUUGGGAAAGAAAAGCAGCAGGUUAAUACCCCGCUGUUCUGACGGUACCCAAAGAAUAAGCACCGGCUAACUUCGUG